CCACCGCUUCCACCAUCGCCACUCGUCACCCCUUGCUCCCAUAGUCCCCAUACCAUGCCCGACCUCCACCCGCCGGAGCACCAAGUCGCCGGUCACCGCGCCUCCGCCAGCAAGCUGGGCCCGCUCAUCGACGGCUCCGGCCUCUUCUACAAGCCGCUCCAGGCCGGCGACCGUGGGGAGCACGAGGUCGCCUUCUAUGAGGCGUUCUCCGCCCACGCCGCCGUCCCGGCCCGCAUCCGAGACACCUUCUUCCCCCGGUUCCACGGCACGCGACUCCUCCCCACCGAGGCGCAGCCCGGGGAGCCGCAUCCGCACCUCGUCCUCGACGACCUCCUCGCGGGGUUUGAGGCGCCCUGCGUCGCAGACAUCAAGAUCGGCGCCAUCACGUGGCCACCGAGUUCGCCGGAGCCCUACAUCGCCAAGUACCUCGCCAAGGACCGCGGGACCACGAGCGUUCUGCUCGGAUUCCGCGUCUUGCGUCCGAGUCGUCGGCCCCGAGGGCGCCGUGUGGCGGACGGAGCGCCCGGAGGUGAAGGCUAUGGACACCGUCGGCGUCCGCCGCGUGCUCCGGCGCUACGUGUCAUCCGCUUGCCGACGAGGGGAUGGACUGCGCGCUCGCGGCGGCGGUGUACGGAGGAAAAGGUGGAGUCUUGUCACAGCUGCGCGAGCUCAAGGCAUGGUUGGAGGAGCAGACUCUGUUCCACUUCUACUCGGCGUCGAUUCUUCUGGGCUAUGAUGCUGCUGCAGUCGCAGCAGGCGGAGGUGGGGGUGGGGUAACAGUGAAGCUGGUGGACUUUGCCCAUGUGGCCGAGGGUGAUGGGGUGAUUGACCACAACUUCCUGGGCGAGCUCUGCUAGCUGAUCAAGUUCGUUUCUGACAUUGUUCCAGAGACUCCUUAGACGCAGCCUUUGGGUCCUUCUUAAGAGAGGAUCCUGACAUUUUUGAUUUGAUAACAAAGGAAGCACUUUCAGCUGCAAAAAAAGAAAGCAGCAGUGAGGAUGAAGAUGACAGUAGUGAGGAAAGUUCGGAUGAUGAGCCAACAAAAGUUGAAGAAAAGAAGGCUCCAAAAGUAUCAGAAAACAUUGGAUCUGAGGAUGAAUCUUCUGAAGACGAGAGUGAUAAAGACAGUGAAGAGCCUCAGGCAUGCCAUCAUUUAACACCUCAGGCACGCCAUCAUUUUUGUUUCACAACUCAAAAGUAAAGGAAAACACUAAAAGUAUGCAGGCAGUAUGAGGGACACACACAGUUUACUGAAACUCCCUUACACAGACACAUACACACCGUGUUCACUGAAACAUUCAGAUUUCACUAAACUGCAACUUCUCCAAACAAACACUAUCUGCGGCUCGGUCAAGUAACGAGCCUCGGCUCGGCUCGCUCCUCUAGCGAGCCUAAAAAGUCGGCUCGGUUCGGCGAGCCAACGAGCCUGACCAUAAGCAUGAAAUCAGUCUCCAAAAUAUAAUAUAAAGUCUCAAAAAUAAUUUAAGUGACACGUCUUAAAUUAGUAAAAUAAAUAUAUAUCAUAUAAUAUAGAAAAUAAGUUAAUUUUGUACAGUAAUCUAAAAAUAUAAAUUAAUCAUCUAUUUAGUACCUAUAAUAUAUGCUAAUUAAAAUUUAUAUAACAAAAAUGUUGUUGUUCGAGCCAGCUCGCGAGCUGAACUGGCUCGCUCUUUUAUUGAGCCAGAAAAAAACUCCGCUCGACCUUGUUCUAAGCACAGUUUCUGGAUCGGAGGAGCAUCCCCGCCUAGGUCUCUGCAGCCAUGGUUCGCGGAUCGCUCGGCAAGCUUGCAUCGCGCGCCCUCUCCGUCGCCGGGAGAUGGCAGCACCAGCAGCUCCGCCGCCUCAACAUCCACGAGUACCAGGGCGCAUAGUUGAUGGGUAAAUACGGGAUCAACGUGCCCAGGGGCGCGGCGGCUGGGUCCGUACAUGAGGUCAAGGACGCCUUGAAGAACAUGUUCCCCAGCGAGAAAGAGAUAGUUGUUAAAAGUCAAAUCCUUGCUGGUGGCCGAGGGCUGGGAACUUUCAAAAGCGGAUUGCAAAGUGGUGUCCAUAUUGUUAAGGCUGAGGAAGCUGAAUUGAUUGCAAGUAAAAUGUUAGGCCAGAUUCUGAUAACGAAACAAACUGGUCCAGAGGGAAAGAUUGUGAGCAAGGUCUACUUGUGUGAGAAACUAUCUCUUACAAAUGAGAUGUACUUUGCCAUCACCCUUGAUAGGAAAACUGCUGGUCCGCUCAUUAUUGCUUGCAGCAGGGGAGGAAAACACUAUAGUUGACCUCAAUGUUCAAAGGAUGGCCAGGGCUACAUCAUCUUGUUGUUGACGGGUUCCGUGUGUUCAAUCGCCGAGCAGAAAGCCAGGAACAGAACUUAGGCGUUGGCGAUUGGCAUCUCCCUCCCCUAAGCCAUGGCCACCGGGCGGCCCGUACGACUCGUGCUGGAUGCCUCCCUCCUCCUCGACCCCUCCUCCACCAGGGAGGCGGCGGCGGUGGCUCUGCGGCCCGGGGUAGAGGAGCUGUUGCGGCGGUUGCGCUACUCCAACCUGACUGUGGCAAUCUGCUAUGCAGAGGGCAUGCCAACUAAUGAGGUGCUCUACUUAUCUACAUUAUUAUUACAUCCCUCUGAAGUUGUAUCUUCAGAAGUUCACAUUGACAGUAUUUGCUUCCUCUUGCCAUACUUACCCAUCAUGGCCCAUGGGGUGUCUAUCUUAUCAUGCCAUCUUCAAAGAAUGGCAUCAUGUUAACAAAAAUGAAUGAGAAAUCAGUCAUUUCUAAUGGAAAGUCAGGCUUUCUUGAAAAGGUCACAAGCUCACACUUGUUUGGCUCUAUAGCACUUCUUGCGAAAAGUGGGAAUCUUUCUCUAACUGAAUUAAUGUUAGAAUGGAGCCGAACAAGUUUAUGUUUUUAUGCGACUUCAAGAGUUGACAAAGGUUUAAGUUCUGAGCUCCAGAAUCAGAAUUGGAGAGUUCUUUCUGUAGCUAAUGAAUGUAGCAUAGAGGUUCCUGUGUUUUAAAUGUUCAAAGGCUUCAGCAGUUGCUUCUCACCUUGGCUACUCUAAUAAAAAGGGAACUAUGUGACUCAUCUGUUCUGGUGAUUGGAUAUAUAAUGAAAAUAUUCUGUGAGGAAGACUUCGCAAGGAGAUGUGGUUCUGUCACUUAUGUGACUGUUGCCGUGUAUGGAGACGAGGACAAGCCAGCGCUUAUAAUGUUUACAGAGAUGUGGUUCUGUGACUGUUGUCGUGUACUCAGGCUUUAUUUCAACAGGAUUUAAAUAUGAGAUGUAGAGUGAUUGAUGUACAUCACUUCACUAAUCAUGAAAUCUGUAGAAGGCGAAACUACUAGCCAUAUAUGAUAUGCAUAAUCUGUGUGGUAAACAUUAUCAAUAUCACACAAAUUAUUUUUAA